GGUUAAGCGACUAAGCGUACACGGUGGAUGCCCUGGCAGUCAGAGGCGAUGAAGGRCGUGCUAAUCUGCGAUAAGCGCCGGUAAGGUGAUAUGAACCGUUAUAACCGGCGAUWYCCGAAUGGGGAAACCCAGUGUGACUCGUCACACUAUCAUUAACUGAAUCCAUAGGUUAAUGAGGCGAACCGGGGGAACUGAAACAUCUAAGUACCCCGAGGAAAAGAAAUCAACCGAGAUUCCCCCAGUAGCGGCGAGCGAACGGGGAGGAGCCCAGAGCCUGAAUCAGCAUGUGUGUUAGUGGAAGCGUC
rnacentral:rRNA from 1 species